GAAGACUGUCUGUUAUUCCAGACUUGCCUGCAGUGCUACAGAAAUCCAGCCUCUCCCCAAGGAGCUUCCAUGUUUGUUGUUGGGCUAAAGUGAAUGCUGUCCAGACUGUGAAGUGAUAUUGAAAUCUUUCCACAGUUUCACACUGAGGCGCAAUAAUACAGGUCUUUGUUGUAUAGAGCAGCACUUUCAACUCUAAGUUGCAUUUCCUUGAAGCUGGGGGAGAGAGGGUCCUGGCUCAGAGGCCUGUAGCCUCACUCACAGCAGGAGGGUGAGUAGAAACAAAAUUCCUAUUAGAGACAGCUUAAAUGGGAACACACUUCAUUUUGCAGAAAACACCUUCUAGAACUUGCUUAAUAGAGGGCACCUUUGCAGUCAAUCAUCCCAGAAGAGUUUCAAAUUGGAUAAAAAAGUGGGGGACACAGAUUAAGGUUAGGGCUAGAGGUUGUGUAUUACAUCUCCAAGUGCUUAUAUAAUUACAUUGUGGUGGUUUUUAGUUGGAAGCUUGUAGAUCAUAGAGGACUCGUUUACUGGUUCUUUUGAAGCAUUGUGGGAAUGAGGACAUGCAGGUCCUGGCACAUGCUCCUGUCAAGCAGAGGACAGCACAUUUUUAUGCCUAGGUUCUAGUCACACAAGUGCUACGAUAUGAAAGGGUGCAGGAGACAAUCUGAAGGACGUCAGAAUGGGAAAAUUUCCAGGCAAACUUGUCUUGGCACACAACAGCUGUAGACACUUCGUCAGAUUUUUAAAAGCCACUUCUCUCUGAUACUUCCCUUCCACUAUGGAAGCCCAGCUGAGUAUUUUCCCUGCUGAGUGGGAGGGUAAGGGAGAGCUCAAGAUUAGCACAGGCUUUAUGCAGAACUGUAAUAUAGGUUGCAGCCUGUGUGUGGUUUCAGUGCUUUGGCCUGUCUGAACCACCAGGCACGUCACCUCUCCAGAUAAAACUCCCCCACAGAAAUAGCUCCCUGCUCUUUAAACAGAGCUCCCCCAGCAUGAUCUCUCUCUCAGUGUCAUCUAGAAUAUAAUGAUUCUAAUAUUUACUUAACUCAGGGCCGGGAUUUAUGGACGUUAAUGUGUGCUAAUAUUUCUAGAAGUCCUAUGUUCUAAUAGCAUUUCUAGAAAAUGGUAUUUAUUUUUUUAAAAGAUAAAUAAACCCAAGAUGAGAUUGAUGGAAAAUAUUUGUUCCUCUAGGAAGAUUCACAAUCCCCCAUAUCUCCUGGGUUAGAGGCUGCCACCAAAGCUGGCCUGUGAGUGUUUCCUGUCAGGCACUUGCCACCUGUCAAUGAGGUCACUCAGGAAACUGUCCCCACCUCCUAGUUCAGUGGUGAGGUGAGCCCUGUGUGCAGCCUCAUGUGAGUUAGUGUACACAUACCAUUAUACACUAAUUCAUGACGGUCAGCUCUUUGAUUGGUUGCUGAAAGGAUCUUAGUAAAUACAUUUGAAAAACACAUGAAUAAUGUUAAAGAUCUCAGGACCUAUAGGAAUAUGAUAGGUUAGGGGAAAGCCAGGUAGUAUGUAAAGGCCAGAUGGUAUUUCCUGAUGUCUCCUACUUAGUUGUUUUCUAAGCCUCAAAAGUCCUGCUAAUGAACUUCUGAAAAUACCGCUCGAAAAUAACAGAUUUCAAGAAUCCCUUAAGUGCAUUAGAAGCCCCUUCAGCAUUAGAGGUAAAUGGUUAAAGAACAUAACCUUGAUCUGCUCUGGUCAUAAGUACUUUCAACACACAGAAAAUAUUCCUCAAGUGCUCUUGUGUCUCCGUUUUAUCCAGUGACAGGGUCUAUGCUUUCUAUGUUGAAAUAAUACUUCUUACCAAAAAAUGGUGCAUAAAACAGAAAAUAAAAUAAAAUAUCCCCAUGGCCACAGCCAUAGCACAAAUCUUCAAGAAGGAAAAAACAGAGAAGCAUUUCAGUGGUACUUAGGUAUGUAAAAUGUAGGAGUUUUGGUGCAGUGUGCUAUAGGCACCGUAAGAACAGUGGCAGGGCCCAGAGAGUUAUGUGAACUUGGAGGAAAUGGAUUAGAAUACAAGUGGAUAAAAAACUCAGCCUCCCAGAGCGUGCAGGGAAGACUCUGCUGGGUUAACACCAGCAGAGGAAAGGAAACCUGUCCCCUGCCAAAGAGUAUGCUGUUGACCAUGAGCAUAGAGUCUUGGGGAAUUCCUAGUGAGGUUUGCAGUUUAUGCAGAGCUUCCCUCUGUAACAGAGGUGGGCAGUGUCAGUGUGGCUAAGGUCUGUGUUGCUCUGUAAAUGUCCUUCAGUCACUCUCUGCCCCCACCCUUGUUUUUUUCUUCCUUCUUUUGUUUUUAUCAUUUCCUCCUCUAUCUUUUUAUCUCUUUGCCUUCUCUCUUGGUUUCCCAGUGCUUCAGUUGAUAACUAUCUACGGAAGUGGUAUACUACAAAUAACAUAGUACAUAAAACCCAGUCAGAAACUCUUAACUGUAGCUCUCUUUCGAUACAUGUUUCACACAUACACAGGUGCUGGCUGCUUUUAUGUCAACUUGACACAGUGAGAUUCAUCUGAGAGAAGGGAGCCUCAAUUGAGAAAAAUGGCCCCAUAAGCUCUGUCUCUGUAAACAAGACUGGAGGGCGUUUUCUUCUUUAGUGAUUGAUGGGAGAGGGCCCAACCUAGUGUGUGUGUGCAGCUCAUGGACCGGUGAUCUUGCUGAGGGGUUAGAAGACAGCAGGAGGAGCAAGCCACGAGGAACAAGCCAGUAAACAGCACUCCUCCAUGGCUUCUUCACCAGUUCUUGCCUUUGGGUUUCUGCCCUGCUUGAGUUCCUGCCCUGACUUCCCUUGAUAAUGAACUGUAAAGUAGAAGUAAAUAAAAUUAAAAAAUAAGUUAAAAAAUAAUAAAGAAGGAAAUAAACUCUUUUUUUCCAAAGUUGCUUAUUUGCAUGGCAUUUUAA